rnacentral:ncRNA from 1 species
UGAGGUUCUCCUUUUAAUUGUAAGGAAGGAGACUAACAGGGAAUCAGGUGUGAAUCCUGAACAGAGCCCGCUGCUGUGAGCUCCCGCAACACAUCGUUUCACACAUUGCCACUGGACGAAGUCACUUUUUCUAUUCAAGUCGACUACAUCAAUCAACAACCGGGAAGGCGUGAAACAAGAUGGGGAGCAAAGUCAGAAGACCUGCCUCUACA